rnacentral:sRNA from 1 species
ACUACGUAGAAGUCGGACAGUUGGCAAA